UCUUUCACUUUUGUCCAUACAGUUUUGUUUAAUCCAAAUUUUAUAUAUUAAAGCAACACAUUCACACUUGGGUGUGGUCUCGGGUUAUUUGGCUUAUAUUUACAAAGUGAACAAGAAUUUUAUAACAAUCACACUAGGAUAGAUUAAAAAACUUGUUAGCCCACAGAUAUAUCAUACAGGUUUAUUUCAGCUACUGCAUUCAACAAAUGAUAACAAUUAAUAAAAGACAGUUUCAAAGCAUUGCAAAAUACAAAGGAAACCAAAAGUAACACCGGUUUAUAUACAGGCGAGCUCAGAGUUACAGUUUAAACAGAAAGUCCAGCUCACACCCUUGAGAUUAGUGCUUACUUCUGCAUUGUCAGAAAUCAGUGAAGAUUUGACAAGAUCUACACCAAAAUGCAAUUCCUUUGCCUCUUUUGGCUUGUGACCAUCAGCGUGAUAGCGUGUUUCUUCUUUGUUAUAAUAUCAUUUAUUAGUGUUAGAGAGUUCAAGAGCGAGUUUUCUGAAGGAGAGAAGGAGAAAAGUGUUGGGACGGUAGUUGGAAUAGACCUUGGGACAACGUACGCCUG